AGACCGAUAGCGAACAAGUAGAGUGAUCGAAAGGUUAAAAGCACCUUGAAAAGGGAGUUAAACAGCACGUGAAAUUGUUGAAAGGGAAGCGCUUGCGGCCAGACUCGGGGGCGGGGUUCAGCGGGCGCUCGUCGCCCGUGCACUCCCCGUCUCCCGGGCCAGCAUCAGUUUCGACGGCCGGUCAAAGGCCCCCGGAAUGUGUCGUCUCUCGGGACGUCUUAUAGCCGGGGGUGCAAUGCGGCCCGUCGGGACUGAGGAACGCGCUCCGGCUCGGAUGCUGGCGUAAUGGCCGUAAGCGGCCCGUCUUGAAACACGGACCAAG
rnacentral:rRNA from 1 species